UAGGAAUCAGGUGGCGAAGAAAUCAGUCUUCGUGCUGUGUGCUGGGAUGUGUAGUCCAGAAGCAACUAAUAUUCCGGAGAUGCCUCUCUACUGUAUGUUGCCGGUCGGAGAGCUGAGCAGGUGCGCCAACCGUGACAAAUUAUGUACUACAGUUUAUUGACCACAGCACAUUUGGAGCAGGUCACCUGGUGAAUCUGGAGGUGAUGGAUGUGGUGUUUGUGACUUAAUUCUGCAGUUCAUUAACAGUGAAAUAUAUAUUUAAUAUAACUCUAAAUAACCCUGAGGUGUCUUCGAUGAAUGUUUUUUGUUUGUUUUUUCCAUUUAGUUAGGUCGGAUCCCAGUACAAAAGAGCGUUGUACUAAUAUAAUCUGUUUACUUCUCCAUGUGCAAGCCCAGAGGCAUUAAUAACAACAGAGCACUUACUCUGUUCAGCUGAAUAUCCAGUAAUUGUGUCUGAAAAUUAUGUUACAAAUCUGUCAUUAAUAAACGAUUGAAUCCUCAGAGACAUUAUGUAAUAGUAAGUUAUUUUGAUAAGCAUUGUGAGCGGACAUGCAGAGAUCAUCCUCUUCUUGUUGUUCCUUUUUUGAAUAAAUGUAGGCAAUGCUGUUGCUUUUGCAGUGUAUCUUAAUCAAAACACUUCCAUAUCAAUCUCUUCUCAGCAUCUGAGUCGUUCUUCAGUAAAAAUACUGAUGUGUGUUUGGGUUUUAGCUACAGUAUGUGUAUGAGGCAGCAAGAUUUCCUGAAACAGCUUCAAGCAUAGUUUAGCAAAGAAAAACAAUCAUUGUUUGAAUGAUCUUGUGCAUAUUUGUUUUAAUUAUUUUGUCUGGUAUAGAAAAUACCAAAAAAAUUGAGAUCAGCCAAAUUAUUUGGCUCACUGAAAUGAGACCAAAUUCAUAUCACUAUUAUAUAAAUAUGUGAAAAGUUUUUUGUUGUUUUAGCUUAGUCCAUAGUCCUGCAUGUCUUGAAUUAAAUUAUUUUGAUUUAUUUGUCUGCUAGAUUAAGUGCAUAAAAAAGAGUUAUGUUCCUCAUUGAGUUGCUGUUAAUGCAGAAUAUUACAAAACUCUGUCUGAGGAUUUUGAAAAGGAUUACCAUGUCCAUUAUUUUUAGAAAAUCAAAUCAUUGGAUGAUCAAUUGGUUUAUGUUAAUGUUUUUUCAUUUGUUACAAAAGCCUGGCUCUGAAUGAGCUCUCUGUCUCUGUCUGUGUGUUGUUUUUUUUAUAAUGAUACAUAAAUAAAGAAGAGAAUGUGAUA